rnacentral:lncRNA from 1 species
UCUAAUUUAGCUGACAUAUAUAUUUUUUAUAAAAGUUUUUAUAAUAAAUAAUGGAAAAAACAAAAAAAAAAAAAAAUUCUUUUUUUAAAAGAUAUUUUAAGAAAUCAGUUAAUAGUAAUAACGACAAUGACCAUAACAUAAUUGAUAGUAAUAACUACAUCAAUAACAAAAACAUAGUCAGCUGUAAUGAUAAUAAAUAUGACACUUUUAGCUAUGAUGAGGAUAAUAACUGCACAAUUAUUAAGGAAUCUGAAAAUGAAACUGAAGAAGAAAAUAAAAAAGAAAAAAAAAAAAAUGUUUUGUACAACCCCUUUAGCUUUAGGUUUAGUAAUUUAUUACCGAUGUACAGAAGGCAAGUAUUCAUUUUUAAAAGACUCUUCAGGUUGCUGUAGAACUGGACGUAUAAAAAGUAGCAAAAAAGGCUAUAACGAGCUUUCUUCACCGUGGACUAUACAAUUAAAAAAAAACGAAUUGGUACAUAUGAGUAACUUUAAAAAAAUAAAAAAAAAUUAUUGCUUAAAAUUAAGUGGCAAAUCUAAAUAUUAUAUAGAGAUAAGAUCUGAUAGUUGCUUAGAACUGUUAGGAGGGAAUUACAGUGUGAACGAAAAAAGUAUAAAUAUAAAAAAAAAUGUUCAUAAGGAAACGAAUGAAAAUAAUCAUGGCUUUAGUUUUGACAUGUGGAUAGGUAUAAAAGAUACAGUUUUGGAUGAAAGUAAAGAAAAAAUAAAAGAAUCGAAAGGUAUGCAAGAAAAAAGUACACAAAAAGAAAACAAGAAAAACAGAAAAAAUUGCAUUUGUCUUAUUCAAAAAGGAAAAGAAGAUUAUAAAUGGGGUAUAUAUUUAAUAAUUGAAAAAAAUACAUGUUUUUUUCUUAUAAAUUAUAAAAAUAAAUUUUAUCCUUUUGAUGGAUUCCCUUCUAAUUAUUUAAAAAGUAUAAAAAUAAAUAACUAUUACUGGAGUUAUAUAUCUAUUAUUUUUAAUUUAUCAAUCGAUUUGAUAUAUGUAAUAGUAACAGGAAAUCAAAAUUAUUUUAUAAACUUAAAUAAAAAUCCUUAUGUAAUUUUUUAUAACAAUCUUUUAUAUGCAACUAAUUUUUUUGUUAGUACUAACAAACAAUUACCUCUCUAUAUAGGAACUCAGUCUAAGAGUUAUGUAUAUGAGUAUAAUAAUUUUAGUGAGAAUAAUUUUGAUGGUGGUGGUGGUGAUAGUAACAGUGGUGAUAGUAACAGUGGUAGUAGUAACAGUGGUAGUAGUAACAGUGGUAGUAGUAAUAGUGGUGAUAGUAACAGUAGUAAUAGUAACAGUAGUAAUAGUAACAGUAGUAAUNNNNNNNNNNAACAGUAGUAAUAGUAACAGUAGUAAUAGUAACAGUAGUAAUAGUAAAGGUAUAAAUUUUAUUUCUUUUCUAAUUACCGAAAUAAGAUUUUUUAUUAUAAAUAAAACAGCCGAUAUGGUGAUUGCCCA